UCCCAGACUCCUACGGGAGGCAGCAGUGGGGAAUAUUGCACAAUGGGGGGAACCCUGAUGCAGCGACGCCGCGUGAAGGAAGAAGUAUCUCGGUAUGUAAACUUCUAUCAGCAGGGAAGAAAGAGGACGGUACCUGACUAAGAAGCCCCGGCUAACUACGUGCCAGCAGCCGCGGUAAUACGUAGGGGGCAAGCGUUAUCCGGAUUUACUGGGUGUAAAGGGUGCGCAGGUGGCAGGGCAAGUCAGAUGUGAAAGCCCGGGGCUCAACCCCGGUAUUGCAUUUGAAACUGUCCGGCUAGAGUGCAGGAGAGGUAAGCGGAAUUCCUAGUGUAGCGGUGAAAUGCGUAGAUAUUAGGAGGAACACCAGUGGCGAAGGCGGCUUACUGGACUGUAACUGACACUGAGGCACGAAAGCGUGGGGAGCAAACAGGAUUAGAUACCCUCGUAAC
rnacentral:rRNA from 1 species